rnacentral:rRNA from 1 species
UACGAAGGGGGCUAGCGUUGCUCGGAAUCACUGGGCGUAAAGCGCACGUAGGCGGCUUCUUAAGUCAGGGGUGAAAUCCUGGAGCUCAACUCCAGAACUGCCUUUGAUACUGAGAAGCUUGAGUCCGGGAGAGGUGAGUGGAACUGCGAGUGGAGCGGUGAAAUGCGUUGAUAUUCACAGGAACUCCGGUGGCGAAGGCGGCUCGCUGGAUCUUUUCUGACGCUGAGGCGCGAAAGCUAGGGGAGCAAACGGG